GCUUAAUCUCACAAUCAAGAACAAAAUGGAUCAAACAAUGUUUAGGGCACUUUAGGUGGAAAACUGAGGAAGGAACAUGGUCCUUCUCUCUUCUACCUCGUUUUGCAGUUGCAGACAUCCUUAAGGCCACAGAAGAAAGAGGAAUCAAAGGUUGCUGUACAUCGAAUACAAGUUGAAUGAAACAGUGACUUGCAUCUUUUCGACACUCAACACUGUCAAGACACUCUGCUACUACAGGGACAUGGAUGAAGCAGGAAACCAUCAUUCUCAGCACACUGACACAAGAACAAAUAAUCAAACACCGCAUAUUCUCACUCGUAGGUGGGUGUUGAACAAUGAGAACACAUGGACAUGAAGGGGAGCAUCACACACCCGGGUCUGUUGGGGGAGACUAAGGCAGGGACAGUCGGGAGUAGGGA
rnacentral:lncRNA from 13 species